UACAGAGGGGGCAAGCGUUGUUCGGAAUUACUGGGCGUAAAGGGCGCGUAGGCGGCCUGUUAAGUCGAACGUGAAAUCCCCGGGCUCAACCCGGGAACUGCGUCCGAUACUGGCAGGCUUGAAUCCGGGAGAGGGAUGCGGAAUUCCAGGUGUAGCGGUGAAAUGCGUAGAUAUCAGGAGGAACACCGGUGGCGAAGGCGGAUCUCUGGGCCUUGCCUGACGCUGAGGCGCGAAAGCUAGGGGAGCGAACAGG
rnacentral:rRNA from 1 species